rnacentral:lncRNA from 10 species
CAGAGUCUGUGGAUGUUGUUAUGUUGAUAUUUGUGCUGUCAGCUGUUCAUCCUGAUAAGAUGCACCUUGUCUUACAAAACAUUUACAAGUGCCAUGGCUGCUCUUCAGAGCUUCGCCAGCCCUGGGACAAGGAUGAUUUUGCAGUUACCUGGGAUCCAUGGAGUCCUGCUAUAAGGGUCUUGCUGUGUCACUCAGGCUGGAGUGCAGUGGCAUGGACGUGGCUCACUGCAGCCUCAACUUCCUGGGCUCAAGCAGUUCUCCCACCUCAGCCUCUGAAGUAGUUGGGACUACAGGACGCACUACCAGAUCCAGCUAAUUUUUAAUUUUUGUGUAGAGAUGGGGUCUCACUAUAUUGCCCAGGUAUUAAAACCAGGCAAAAGUGUCUUGUUUCGUGACUACGGACUGUAUGAUCAUGCCAUGCUUAGGUUUAAAGCCAGCAGCAAACUUGGAGAAAACUUUUAUGUUAGACAAGAUGGGACCAGAUCAUAUUUUUUUACUGAUGACUUCCUGGCUCAGCUCUUUAUGGACACAGGUUAUGAAGAAGUGGUAAACGAGUAUGUGUUUCGAGAGACGGUGAAUAAAAAAGAAGGCCUGUGUGUGCCAA